GACGUCAAAUCAUCAUGCCCCUUAUGACCUGGGCUACACACGUGCUACAAUGGACAGAACAAAGGGCAGCGAAACCGCGAGGUUAAGCCAAUCCCACAAAUCUGUUCUCAGUUCGGAUCGCAGUCUGCAACUCGACUGCGUGAAGCUGGAAUCGCUAGUAAUCGCGGAUCAGCAUGCCGCGGUGAAUACGUUCCCGGGCCUUGUACACACCGCCCGUCACACCACGCAGAGUUUGUAA
rnacentral:rRNA from 1 species